CCUACGGGUGGCAGCAGUGAGGAAUAUUGGUCAAUGGACGAGAGUCUGAACCAGCCAAGUAGCGUGAAGGAUGACGGCUCUAUGGGUUGUAAACUUCUUUUAUAAAGGAAUAAAACGAGGCACGUGUGCCUUUUUGCAUGUACUCUAUGAAUAAGGAUCCGCUAACUCCGUGCCAGCAGCCGCGGUAAUACGGAGGAUUCGAGCGUUAUCCGGAUUUAUUGGGUGUAAAGGGAGCGUAGAUGGGUUGUUAAGUCAGUUGUGAAAGUGUGCGGCUCAACCGUAGAAUUGCAAUUGAUACUGGCAGUCUUGAGUGCAGUUGAGGUAGGCGGAAUUCGUGGUGUAGCGGUGAAAUGCUUAGAUAUCACGAAGAACCCCGAUUGCGAAGGCAGCUUACUAAACUGUAACUGACAUUGAGGCUCGAAAGUGUGGGUAUCAAACAGGAUUAGAUACCCCAGUAGUC
rnacentral:rRNA from 1 species